rnacentral:rRNA from 1 species
AUUGAACGCUGGCGGCAGGCCUAACACAUGCAAGUCGAGCGGAUGAGUGGAGCUUGCUCCAUGAUUCAGCGGCGGACGGGUGAGUAAUGCCUAGGAAUCUGCCUGGUAGUGGGGGAUAACGUUUCGAAAGGAACGCUAAUACCGCAUACGUCCUACGGGAGAAAGCAGGGGACCUUCGGGCCUUGUGCUAUCAGAUGAGCCUAGGUCGGAUUAGCUAGUAGGUGAGGUAAUGGCUCACCUAGGCGACGAUCCGUAACUGGUCUGAGAGGAUGAUCAGUCACACUGGAACUGAGACACGGUCCAGACUCCUACGGGAGGCAGCAGUGGGGAAUAUUGGACAAUGGGCGAAAGCCUGAUCCAGCCAUGCCGCGUGUGUGAAGAAGGUCUUCGGAUUGUAAAGCACUUUAAGUUGGGAGGAAGGGCAGUAAGUUAAUACCUUGCUGUUUUGACGUUACCAACAGAAUAAGCACCGGCUAACUUCGUGCCAGCCGCCGCCGUAAGAC